UACGUAGGGUGCAGGCGUUAAUCGGAAUUACUGGGCGUAAAGCGUGCGCAGGCGGUUUGCUAAGACAGGUGUGAAAUCCCCGGGCUUAACCUGGGAACUGCGCUUGUAACUGGCAAGCUGGAGUGUGGCAGAGGGGGGUGGAAUUCCACGUGUAGCAGUGAAAUGCGUAGAGAUGUGGAGGAACACCGAUGGCGAAGGCAGUCCCCUGGGCUAACACUGACGCUCAUGCACGAAAGCGUGGGGAGCAAACAGG
rnacentral:rRNA from 1 species